rnacentral:rRNA from 1 species
AGAACGAACGCUGGCGGCAGGCUUAACACAUGCAAGUCGAGCGCCCCGCAAGGGGAGCGGCAGACGGGUGAGUAACGCGUGGGAACAUACCCUCCGGUUCGGAAUAGCUCAGGGAAACUUGGAUUAAUACCGGAUACGGCCUAGCGGCGAAAGAUUCAUCGCCGGAGGAUUGGCCCGCGUCUGAUUAGCUAGUUGGUGAGGUAAUGGCCCACCAAGGCAAUGAUCGGUAGCC